GGGGGCGUAGCGCAAUUGGCUAGAGCAGCGGUCUCCAAAACCGCAGGUUGUGGGUUCGAGUCCUUCCGCCCCUGCCA
rnacentral:tRNA from 1 species